CUACAGCGGACCUCGAGCCGCCAUUUGGGGUGUGGCGCCUCCGGAGGAAUAGGGCGCAUUGAGCCUCGUCCUCUCCUGAGAACAUCAGUCAUACUGGAUUCAAGAGCCUACCUUAAGCUGGUCUGGUGGUGUACUCCUGUAUACCCAGCUGCCCAGGAGGCUGAGAAGGAGGAUUGCAAGUUCAAAGCCAGCCUCAGCAACAAUGAGGCACUAAGCAAC